CAGAGAGUGAGGGAGAGAGAGAAUCCCAAGCAGGCUCCGUGCUGUCAGCACAGAGCCCAACACAGGGCUUGAAUUCACGAGCCCAUGAGAUCAUGGGCUGAGCUGAAAUCAAGAGUUGGACGCUUAACCGACUGACCCACCAGCGUGCAAUCCCCCCAAACACUUCGAUUUUAAUGAGUACUCCGUAACUAUGUGUUGUCUGGUGAAUCAACAUCCCCAUUUUACAGACGAGGAAACUGAAGCACAGAGAAGGGAAAUCCCUGCCCAAAGCCGGGGGCAGGGGGGGGCGGGCAUCGCAAUUCCAUCACCCCUCCUGGGUUCUCCUCAGAGCCCCUCCUCCAUUUCCUAGCUGUGUGGUCUGGGGCUGGCCUCUUGCCCUCUCUGAGCCCCACCGUCUUCCCUUUCCGUGCUGUGAGGGACUGUGAGGAAGAUGAGAGGGUGUCCGUGGCACUUUCCCGGAGGAGCACAGCCUUACUCACACAUCAUGAUGCAUCAGAUACAUCGCUGUCCUUUGUCCGCCGGGACCCCACCAAGGCUGGCCCAUCAUGGCCAUCUAGUGCAACGAGAAGGUUCCCAGCCACUAACAGUAUUUUUAAACAACGAUCCCAAGGAAAUAUUUUUAAAAGCCUGCGUCGUGCUGGGGAACAGCUCUGAAUUAUUAACUAUCAGGUAGCCCUGCUAUAUUUUUGGACAGAGUUUAUUCCGACACAUACAAUUUUCCUCCUGGUAAUUUAUGAAAAGCGCAUUCCCUUCUUCAGGAAGUCACACCCCCUUCUGAGCACCACCUCCCCCACCCCAAACUUGAAUGUUUACUGGGUAAAUGCAACAAACUUUUAUCUUAAAGUGCAUCUGCUUGCUCGCUUGAUACUGGAGGACAUUUCCCAGGGAGACACUGCAACGAUAUUUUCUGAAAUGUCCAGCCUGGGGCCUUUUAGGAAUUCAAUAAAACCUUGUCAAUUAGGAUGAAUUAAUCAUCCACCCCCUGCAAGGCCCCCUUUCCCUCUGCUCCACACUGUGACACCUACUGGGGAGAUCACAUAUCGGCUUCAUAGCCAGGCGGUUGUGGGUUCAAGCCCCAGGGGAAUCCUGUUUCCUGGGACUCAGGGAAACUGGCCUCCCCCUGCAUUGCCUACCCUGUCCCAGGCCUCAAAGGCGCACACAGAGUAAAAUGAUCCUGAAUCUAGAGGCGGAGGCCCCACGUUGUCUUGGCAUCAGACUUAGCCGAGUGACCACAAGUAAGUCACCAAACCUCUCUGAUCCAGUUUUUGUGUUUUUGGUUUUGGUUUUGGUUUUGUUUCCUGAUACAGUUUUCUCAUCCCUAAAGCAGGAGGUGAUGGUCCGAAUUCAGGCAUCCACUCAACAAAUAUAUAGACGACCUCGUGCUGGGCACUGGGGACCCAAGCCAACGCCCACCCUCGCGGAGCUCAAUCCAGGUGGCAGGUCCGACCAGCUACACACACGAGUGAACAAGAGAAAUGUUGAACGCUAGUAAGAGCUAUGGAGAAAAUGAGGCUGGGGGCGCCUGGGUGGCUCAGUCGGCUGAGCACCUGACUCUUGAUUUCGACUCUGGUCAUGAUCUGACAGUUCGUGGAAUCGAGCUCCACGUGGGGCUCUGUGCUGACGGUGCGAGCCUGCUUGGGAUCCUCUCUCCCUCUCUCUCUCUGCCCCUCCC
rnacentral:lncRNA from 1 species